rnacentral:tRNA from 1 species
AGAAAGUUAGUCUAAUCAAGACAGUUGAUUUCGGCUCAACAAAUUAUAGCUUACAAUCUAUAACUUUCUU